CAUAGAAUUAAUAAUGUUUUAUUAUAUUAUUUUUUAUUUAUUUUUUUAUUAGUUGAGUGCAUAUAUAUAAUAUAUAUGAUAAUGUAAUUAGUUUGAGGUAUUUUUUCCAUGCGGGAAGGAGCAGUUUGUUUUGAUGUAAGCGGAGGAGUGGAACUCAAAAUUUCCUUACUUUGAUAUUUAUUUUCGGCUUUCUUGAUAUUUAUUUUACUAUUUAAUAAUUUUUCUAAAAAAAUUAUUAAAUAGUAAAAUCUAAACUCUACUUUCUUUAUAAUGAAUUAGAAUUAUCUUAUUUAUUAUAAAUUAGAAUUAUCUUUAAAUAAAAUAAAAUUUUUAAUUAUUUAAUAGGUUAAAUUUUAUAAGUAUAAGUUUAUUGCUAUAUUCAGAAAAUAACGGGAUUGACUUACAUCAAAAUAAAUAAUAAAACUAAAAAAAUUAAUUUCAUUAUCACUAAAUUACAUAAAAAAUAAAAAAAAUAAAUUUAACUUUCAAACUAUAUAAAUUAUGUCAAAAUAAAUAAUAAAAAAUUAUUUAUAUUUGAGAAAAACUUAAAUAUUACUGCACUUGCUAUAGAUACGUAAAUCCAAGCGUCCCCUUAGGGCCCGUUUGGUCUAGCUUCUGAAAAAGUGAUUUCUGAAAAAGUGAUUUUGAUUUGUGGAAGUGAUUUUAGUUAAAAGCUGUAGAGUGUUUGGCUGAGUUUAGAUAAAAUCAAUUUUUCAAAAGUGAUUUUGAAAAACUGUUUGGCAAAAUUUUUUUGAUGUUUGCAUAAUUUAAUAUUUUUAUUAAAUUUUAUUUUAAAAUAAUUUAAAAUCUAAAUUUAAAUUUGAAUUAAAAUUAAAUUUUUU
rnacentral:lncRNA from 1 species